rnacentral:rRNA from 1 species
GAUGAACGCUGGCGGCGUGCCUAAUACAUGCAAGUCGAGCGAACAGAUAAGGAGCUUGCUCCUUUGACGUUAGCGGCGGACGGGUGAGUAACACGUGGGUAACCUACCUAUAAGACUGGAAUAACUCCGGGAAACCGGGGCUAAUGCAGGAUAACAUGUUGAACCGCAUGGUUCUACAGUGAAAGGCGGCUUUGCUGUCACUUAUAGAUGGACCCGCGCCGUAUUAGCUAGUUGGUGAGGUAACGGCUCACCAAGGCAACGAUACGUAGCCGACCUGAGAGGGUGAUCGGCCACACUGGAACUGAGACACGGUCCAGACUCCUACGGGAGGCAGCAGUAGGGAAUCUUCCGCAAUGGGCGAAAGCCUGACGGAGCAACGCCGCGUGAGUGAUGAAGGUCUUCGGAUCGUAAAACUCUGUUAUUAGGGAAGAACAAAUGCGUAAGUAACUGUGCGCGUCUUGACGGUACCUAAUCAGAAAGCCACGGCUAACUACGCG